GGGACUAGAGGGCAUUUCUAUUUUGUUUCAUCUCUAAUCGCUCUUCCUUGCUUCCUUUGCCUCUAGCCACUAGCACUCCUCCCCUUCAUCGAAGCCUCCUUCAGGUAAACCUUUUUAUCUAUUCUGUUGUUCCUUUAGCUUUCCUCUCUGCCUCUUUUUGUUACCUUAAGAAAAAAAUUGUUUUUUUUUUUUAAUUUCAAAGUCUUGGUUUAUAUUUUUGGGUUAUUGAAAUUGGAAAAAGCAAAGAUUGGGUUGGGAAUUGGGAGAGAGGCAUUUGAUGUUGACUAUUGGAAACUCAGACAUUUGUUUGGAUUGUGAGAAAAUGAAAAUUUUUGUUUUAUUUUCUCUUUUUAAUGUUGUCUGGGUAUUAUUUAUAGGUUCACGAACCAACCAAUAUUAAUAGAAAGAGUUGUGACUCUUCCUAUGAAAUAAAAUUAAAGUGUAUACAGUUUGAUUUACCCUUAGCUUACAAACUUAUAGCUUGUAAUUGAUCUACUGAAAUGGUCGAGUUCCUUGUAGUAGAUCUACCUUUAGCUUACAAUGUAAUUUUUGCUAUAGCUUACUAUUAUCAUCUGCAAGUUAUUUUUCAUACAAAACAGUUUAUAUUUCAAACAUAGAAAAGCCCCCUGCAGGACAUAUAGUCUGUAUCUUAAUGCUAGAAAUUAUAUUAUGUUGAAAAAAAACAUUCAAAUAUAUUACAACAUAGAAAACUAUAGAAAGAAAACAACUUUUUUGCAAUAUAAUUUGUCAUGUAAAUGAAUGGAUUUACAAUACAGAUGACUUAAAAAAUACCUUUUAAAGCCAAGUCUAAGGAAUUUAUUUGGAUGGUUAAAACAAGUAAAAAUUCAUUUGGCUUGGUCUGGGAUUUGAUUAAGGUUUGGCUAAGUUGAGUUUAACACUUUGAUAAUUUGGGUUUUGAGACUUGUCAGAAUGACUGCAGCCCAAAAUGCAGAAAAGAUACAAUCAAAAUAACAAAUUAGUUAUUUUUCUUUGCUUCUUAUAUUUGAUCAUUUGAGGCUUUAUUUAUUUAAAUUAAUGGUGACUAUUAUUGGCAAAAGUAUCUAAUACUUUUCUUCUACAACAAUGAAUUGUGUGAUGUCUCUUUAGUACUAUCAAAUUGAACGUCAUUUUCAUGUUUGAAAAGAAAAAAAGAAAAGAAAAGAAGACAUACACUUAUAAUGCUCAACUAAAAAAUUGAGGAUGUACUGAAAAAUAUUAGUAAAUUUUAAUAUAUUUAAUUUAUACAUUACAUCUUUAUCUGAACCAACUAAUUUACACAAAUUUAUCUAGAACCUCUUUUAAAUUAAUUCUUUUUAACUUACCAAUUUUUUAUGUGGUAUAUUGUGGUUGGAGCCCAAUAAACUUGAAAUGGUUAUGUUUGUAUAACAGCUAUUCUUCUGGUUCCAUAAUUUUUUUUAUCUAUAGGAUCUCUUAAAAUUAUAUACUUGCCCAACAAAUUAGUUACAUUGAUGUUUUUAGCUACUAGGUCUUGGUAGAUGGAAAAAUAAUCCUUGAAUUUACUUUGAAUAUACAAUUUGUUUUGAAGACAUCCAAAGCAAUUUGAAUUGAAAAAAGUACAAUUGUGUUUGGGUCUUUAUCAAAACUUCUCUACAUCAUAGGUUAAAGCAAUCUACAGUUUCCAGGAUGUCGUUUACCACAAUGCCUACACUCAGGUCGAUUCGGCCAGACAUUACCAACAGUAGCAAUUAAAAUGGCUCGUGAACUCUGUAACGCCCUGAAUUUGGGCCUAGAAGUAUUAGGUCCUUGAGCAUGGGAGCAGUUUAGAGGUGGCACAUAAAUAGUUAGUUGUGUAAGAAAGUGACACAACUGUGUAUCUGCUUCAGUGGUUAAGUGUUCUGAGUGUUCUGGGAGUGUCUGAGAAGUCUUGGAUUCAAGCCUUGGUUUAUGCAAAAACCUUGCUUUUUAAGGAUAAAACCCCUAUCUUUGGUUAGUAGGGUUAUAAGUAAAAAUUGUUAAAACAUGACAGAAUGGGCCUAUUGGUCUAGUGGAUAGUGGCAUGUGGAGUGUGCUUGUGGUCUGAGGUUCGAAUCCAUAUUUGCGCAAACGGAGAUUAUUUUUAUUGAUGGCCAUAAGAGGAGGUUGUGUUUGAUCGAAACACUACUGAGGGGAGUGGAGCUUGAAUUGGUCAUGGAGGGAUUGUAAGAGGGAGUUGAGGAGAGAUUUGAGGAGGAAAUCAAGGGGAUUUGAAGUGGAGGAGGUGUUGGUGCCGAAUUAGGAUUGUAGGCACCCAGUGAUUUCGGUUUGAGGGAGAAUUAGACUUUGGAGAAAGCUUUGGUUGUGGUAGCAAUACACUCUAGCUGUUUAUUUUCUCCUCACUUUUCUUUGUUUUGUCGAGCGCUUUCUGAUUCUUCCUACACUUUUUGUUAACUAAAUACUACUAGGGGAUCAUUGGGGUACUUUCAUUUUGGACUAUUUAGGCUUUUUUUGGCUUCCUCUACUUUUUUACAAACGAUUUCCCCCUUGAUACCUUUUUUUUGGCUUUCUCCCUCUCUAAUCCAUUCAUUCUUUUGAUCAAUUCUCUUUCUCCACUUUCUCCUUUCCAAUCAGUUUCUCAUUGACUAAUUGCAUCUUUUUCACUACUAUUCUCGUUCUUUCUCUGCUUACUCUCAACUCAUUCCCCUGAUCUUUUUGAGGUUUCGCCGAAUAUUACUGCUAUUCUUGUUCUCUCUGUGCCAAAUUUUUCCUUCAUUGCUAUCUACUAUUUCUGUAGUUAUUGUUAUUUUUUGGUCUUGCUUUUUGGUAAGUUUGACUCUCGGUUUGGAUGAACGAUACUUUUCCUAUUUCUCCCUCUCUCUGUUGUAAUUGUACUUCAUCUAACAACUUCUUUCUCUGUCGAUUACUGUUAAGGCUGUGAUUGUUUCACUUUGUCACCAUCAUAUAGUGUACUUUCGGCGCUAGUGUGGGUGUAGGCCGAUUGUUCCUUUCUCCUAUUUUGGACUCUGCAUUGCCGGUAAGUGAUUUACAUUUUGCUCAAAUCAUGUGUGUGAUCAAUAUGAUUAACGUUAAUAAGUUCAUUCAGAAUGCAGGUAUUUCUCUAAAUGAGUUCGUAAUCAGUUGCGUGUAUCGGUUUAAGGGUAGAAUCUUCAUUAUUUCGACCAUGGUAAGUAUUAGUGAAACUUUUUGCCAAAUAUAAGAAGGAGAUGUUAAUCAUAUUGUCAUUGAUUAAUAGAGUAUUUUGAUUGAAUGUAGGCUUUUGGCUCGCAGGCUACUUGCGCAUCUUCGUUUAAGGUGUGUAAUCACUGUUUUAACCGUAAAUCGGUAAAAGCCGAAAAAUAGGACCGUUAAUGCCACAUGGGCGUGCGAUCGCUCUUGUGGUAACCCCAAACGCAUAAACAUCGGUACUACAUUACGAGAGGCCACCAUGGGAGAUCUCAUGGGCUUAGGCAGUUUUGGGCCAUGUUAGGCUGAAAUGAUGACCAAAUACCCCCAUAAGGUAAAAUGACCGAAAUACCCAAAUAGGGUUAAAUGACCGAAAUACCCUCAUUGGAUAAAAUGACUGAAAUACCCCUAUAGGGUAAAAUGACGGUAAUACCCCUGUUGUGAGGUAAAAUGACUGAUUUGUCCUACGAUGUGUAUGACUGUAUUUGAGCAUGCCCCGUUAUAUGUAUGUUGCAUCCAUGUAAGAUAUUUGAUCGGCUAAAAUCAUCCCUGAAUUUCUUCAAUGCUGACUGAAAUGUCUUACCCGGUGAUCUCUUACGAGAAUAUCUAGCUUCAAAAUCAGCUUUUCUUUUCUUUUUUUUCGUAUAACUUAGGAAGUUAUAGGAACUUGAGGGGGCGGAGGUUGUUGAGCAGCCGGAUUCGUCCGGACGAACUCGAUGAACCACUCAUUCAUUAGCUGGAAGAAGGCUUGCUUAGCCUCUCCCUUUAUAUUACUUGAAAUCAGCCAAGAAUCAGCCGG
rnacentral:lncRNA from 1 species